rnacentral:misc_RNA from 1 species
GAUGAAGAACGUAGCGAAAUGCGAUACGUAAUGUGAAUUGCAGAAUUCAGUGAAUCAUCGAAUCUUUGAACGCACAUUGCGCCUGCCAGCACUCUGGCAGGCAUGCCUGUUCGAGCGUCAUUUCAACCAUCAAGCCCUAGGCUUGCGUUGGAGCCCUGCGGCAGCCGCAGGCCCCUAAAAGCAGUGGCGGGCUCGCUAUCACACCGAGUGCAGUAGAUUACUCUUCGCUCUGGGCGUGCUGCGGGUUCCGGCCGUUAAACCACCUUCAUAACCCAAGGUUGACCUCGGAUCAGGUAGGAAGACCCGCUGAACUUAAGCAUAUCAAUAAGCGGAGGA